rnacentral:rRNA from 1 species
UACAGAGGGUGCGAGCGUUAAUCGGAAUUACUGGGCGUAAAGCGUGCGUAGACGGUUAUUUAAGUCGGAUGUGAAAGCCCCGGGCUCAACCUGGGAAUUGCAUUCGAGACUGAAUAGCUAGGGUACGGUAGAGGGAAGUGGAAUUUCCGGUGUAGCGGUGAAAUUCGUAGAUAUUCGCAAGAACACCAGUGGCGAAGGCGGCUCACUGGCCCGAUACUGACGCUGAGGCACGAAAGCGUGGGGAGCAAACAGG